CCGCACAAGUUUUACAUAGGUUGCUAUUAUACUGUAUAUGAAAUAUUUGGAGAUACAAUUUAGAUUACUUGCACUUUGAAUCUUUAACACUCCACGCGGCAUUACCACUCUAGCUUGACAACUUUCCAUGGGAGGAAGUUACCAGCAAGCCCCCCUGUUUAGGACCUGCCAGCACAGGAAGGUGCUACCAACACCCAGUGGAACCCUGGUAAGUUGUCAAAUCGCAAGCUGACUACUUACACUGGGAGGGCUCCAGGACACACCUGGGACCAUAAUCUUUAUCACUAAUCUACAGGCUGUACCAAUUAUAGUAUUUGCCAUUUCAGUAAGUUAUUCUUAGUGAACUUUACAUGCUGGAAAAACACAGGUGCCAACUGCUGUGGCUUUCUGCAGUGUGCAGACUGGCAAGGAGGGCAGGGUUGAGGAGUGGGUGGAAGAUGACAUGGAGGAUGAUGAGGUCGUAG